UGGCGGACGGGUGAGUAAUGUCUGGGAAACUGCCUGAUGAAGGGGGAUAACUACUGGAAACGGUAGCUAAUACCGCAUAACGUCGCAAGACCAAAGAGGGGGACCUUCGGGCCUCUUGCCAUCGGGUGUGCCCAGAUGGGAUUAGCUAGUAGGUGGGGUAACGGCUCACCUAGGCGACGAUCCCUAGCUGGUCUGAGAGGAUGACCAGCCACACUGGAACUGAGACACGGUCCAGACUCCUACGGGAGGCAGCAUG
rnacentral:rRNA from 1 species